CAUCAGGUGAAGAUGUGCGUGAUUUCAGCAAGGUGCUGAAAAAUAAGUUCAGAUCAAAGAAAUACUUUGCCAAACAUCCUCGCUUGGGUUAUUUACCAGUACAAACAGUUCUAGAAGGCGAGAACCUUGAGACGACACAAUCAUCGCCUUGGAAGCUUCAUCACGAUACUACUUUGAUUCUUCUUCCCUCUUCAGAAAUGCAAUGUGCAAAUUCAAUUCCAUGGUUUUGGAAGUCCCAUUGAGAACACGAUUCAUUUGUGCCGGCAUAAUGCUCUGACCGAGAAAGAAUUGAAGGAAAAAAGCAAUGAAAGUGCCGUUCAUGUUUUGCACGGCGAGCUGCUGAAUACUAACCGGUCUCACACCAUUACCAUCACCUUGCCCUUGUGAAGGCAGAUAUGGAUAAGGUUCUCAAAGCUGAUAGAAGAUUGAAACCACUCUCGUCCUGUG